UACGGGGGGGGGCAAGCGUUGUUCGGAAUUACUGGGCGUAAAGGGUUCGUAGGUGGCUUGCUUAGUCAGACGUGAAAUCCCUCAGCUUAACUGGGGAACUGCGUCUGAUACUGGCGAGCUUGAGUGCAGGAGAGGAACGCGGAAUUCCAGGUGUAGCGGUGAAAUGCGUAGAUAUCUGGAGGAACACCGGUGGCGAAGGCGGCAUCCUGGACCACGACUGACGCUGAGUGAGCGAAAGCCAGGGGAGCAAAGCGGG
rnacentral:rRNA from 1 species